GCUUUCGUGGUGUAAUGGUCAGCACACUCAACACACAUUCGAGAGGUCCGUGGUUCGAGUCCCGUCGAGGGCA
rnacentral:tRNA from 1 species